AUUGAACGCUGGCGGCAGGCCUAACACAUGCAAGUCGAGCGGAUGAAGGGAGCUUGCUCCUGGAUUCAGCGGCGGACGGGUGAGUAAUGCCUAGGAAUCUGCCUGGUAGUGGGGGAUAACGUCCGGAAACGGGCGCUAAUACCGCAUACGUCCUGAGGGAGAAAGUGGGGGAUCUUCGGACCUCACGCUAUCAGAUGAGCCUAGGUCGGAUUAGCUAGUUGGUGGGGUAAUGGCCUACCAAGGCGACGAUCCGUAACUGGUCUGAGAGGAGGAUCAGUCACACUGGAACUGAGACACGGUCCAGACUCCUACGGGAGGCAGCAGUGGGGAAUAUUAGACAGUGGGCGAAAGCCUGAUCCAGCCAUGCCGCGUGUGUGAAGAAGGUCUUCGGAUUGUAAAGCACUUUAAGUUGGGAGGAAGGGCAGUAAGUUGAUACCUUGCUGUUUUGACGUUACCAACAGAAUAAGCACCGGCUAACUUCGUG
rnacentral:rRNA from 1 species